rnacentral:rRNA from 1 species
AUGGCUGAUGAACAAGGCUGGUCGGCUGGCGCUUGUCAAGUCGGUGCUCAGCGCGAUCCCAAUUCACCAAUUGCUCGCGCUCGCACCCCCAAGAAAACCCUGAAGCAACUUGAGAAGAUUCAACGAGGUUUUCUUUGGGCCGGCCGCGCGGACGCCCACGGUGGUCACUGUCACGUGAAUUGGCGCCGGGUCUGA